UGCCAGCAGCCGCGGUAAUACGGAGGGGGCGAGCGUUAUUCGGAAUUACUGGGCGUAAAGGGUGCGUAGGCGGCCCAUCAAGUUAGACGUGAAAGCCCCGGGCUCAACCUGGGAAUUGCGUUUAAUACUGGUGAGCUAGAGUACGAGAGAGGAAAGUGGAAUUCCAAGUGUAGAGGUGAAAUUCGUAGAUAUUAGGAAGAACACCAGUGGCGAAGGCGACUUUCUGGCUCGUAACUGACGCUGAGGCACGAAAAUGUGGGGAGCAAACAGGAUUAGAUA
rnacentral:rRNA from 1 species